rnacentral:misc_RNA from 1 species
ACAAAAUGGACCUCGAUUGGAUGACUUUAAUAAUUAAUAUAAUCAUAUAAAAAAAAGUGGAAAAAAUGUACAAAACCAUUUCUUGGAAUUGGGAAUCACGUGAUGCCAUUAAGACAAAACCCCCCGACCAAGUGAUUAAUUAACUUAAAUUAAAAAGAAAGAGAUAGAACAUUUGAAGGGACUGAUUCAGUCAAAAUAUCAAAAUUAAACUAAAGAUUAAUUAUAGUAGCAGUGGUAAUUAAAAUUUUUCUUGUUUUUGUUAAUAAUUUUGCUAAUUUAUUAAUUAACACAAAGGAGAUCGAUGAGGGAUCCCUUUUCUUCUACUCAUGCUAGUAGCCAUGUCCUCAUCCGAAACCUUAUUAGCUGAUCUUCCACAUACGUAUAAUCCACUCCUCUUCCUCCGUACAAUCUCUUGAGUGCAUGCCAUGCUCAUAUUCUCCGAUGCUGAUGAGCCGGAAGACCAACUCAUCUGCUCGUCGGAGUCCACGAUUGUCGAAUGUGGUGUCUCAUUCGUCAUCUCAUCGUCUCCCAUGUCUUGAGGGAUGAAGAAGUCAGGACCAAGUGUUAAAGAGUUGCAUUUCCUUAGGUAUGGAGAGAGGUCCUUAUAGUGUUUCAGCACAAAAUCCACCUUGCACCCAAGAGAGCAAUGAAUAAAGGGUUCUUGGAGACUUCUAUCACAGGAAGUGCAAUAGUUUCCAGAGCCUUUGAAUUGCCUGUUCUGAGGUCUCUUCUUGAUGAACACUACUUUGGCACUAUUUAUGGUAUAGGCCUAGAUCAAAUUAAUCAAAACUACUUGAGUUAGCCAAUUAUGAACUGAAUUAUGGAAGGAGUACAAUUAAUAUCAGGAAAGAAAAUUAAUUAGCCCUAUUCAGCACAAUAACCUGCACAUUUGAGCAAUCAAUAAGCUUCUGGAGGUCUUCCAAUCUUACAACAUCAUGAUAGACAUAUCGGCGAACUUGAAGAAGCCUAUGGUAGCGAUGAGAUGGAACACAGUGAGGGCAAAUACUAAUGCAACAAUCUAAACAACAAACGUUCUUUUCAUUCUUCUUUGCAGUUUCAUGAUAAGAGCAACCCACGAAGAACUUCUGUGAGUAGAGAGCUUCCAACCAUGCGGGCUUCUGAAUUCCCAUGAUCACAUAAACCAAAAACAAGGCAAGCCCUCUUGAGCUGUUAUCAAGAUGGUUGUGCUAGCAGGAAGAGAAGAUGAAGAGAGAGAGAGAGAGAGAG